rnacentral:rRNA from 1 species
AGAUUGAACGCUGGCGGCAGGCCUAACACAUGCAAGUCGAGCGGUAGAGAGGUGCUUGCAUCUCUUGAGAGCGGCGGACGGGUGAGUAAUGCCUAGGAAUCUGCCUAGUGGUGGGGGAUAACGUUCGGAAACGGACGCUAAUACCGCAUACGUCCUACGGGAGAAAGCGGGGGACCUUCGGGCCUCGCGCCAUUAGAUGAGCCUAGGUCGGAUUAGCUAGUUGGUGAGGUAAUGGCUCACCAAGGCGACGAUCCGUAACUGGUCUGAGAGGAUGAUCAGUCACACUGGAACUGAGACACGGCCCAGACUCCUACGGGAGCAGCAGUAGGGAAUAUUGGACAAUGGGACGAAAGCCUGAUCCAGCAAUGCCGCGUGAGUGAUGAAGG